CAACUAUGUUACAUGGUGUUUGGUCCUAUGGCUUCUUUGUGUCCUGGCUCGUGUUCCCUCGUGUCAAUCCUGGUGGUCCAGGGACUCAAACAGCAGCCUUUGAGCCAUGGUUUUGCCUCCUCGUCUACCAGGCUCCUGCAACCACCACGGUAAAUCGAGUCACCUUGAAGCAUCGCUGGAGGCCCCAAGCCUGCAGGGGCUCUCGUUAGGAGCUGCAGUGAGGAAUCCACAUCAGCCGUCUUCUCCGUCAAAAGCGACCUCUCCUGCUGACUCCAUCCUCCUUCGUACCCAUUCCCCGAGUGCCCUGAGUUAUCACUGUAUGCAAGCGGUAUGGGGAGGUGUGCAAUUCUGCCAGAAAUGACGGUGGCAUUCCUGAACUCAAAUAUUGCUCACGAGGAAGCAAUUAUGUACAGAGCAACUCUGAAUGUUGAAACUUUUGAAGAGCCUGAGCUUCAGAGGCUAAUAGGGCUUGUGGACACAAACACGGUGCAACAGAGCGGAACAGCCCUCGCUGUCGGAAAGAAAUUGGGCAGAUAAGUUGCGAGGGGGUUUUGAAAAACAACCACUCGCCAACUUAAACCCUUUUAUACCCCGGCUCCACCGCUGCACAUCCCUCCCUUGUUUAUCCAUUUCAUGCAACACCAUCCCAGGUGGAUAUCCAUCCACACAGGUCCAAUUUUACACCCUCGCUGUCGAGACUUAGGGGACGUGAUUAUCCAUUCGCUUCCUCCGAGGGAUGACUGGAAAAAGAAGGAUGGGAAAUCUGAAACACGGGCAAAACGUGAUACUCUUACAUCGCACACGGCGGGGCAUUAAGAGACACUCAGGUGGCUAAUGCUCUGGGGCUCCUCCAUUCAGCCGUGUUCUUAAGUGGUAGGCCCCCCACCCCUCAGGACCGCCGGAGUGAAAACCUUCUUUUCAGCCUCAGCAAGACCUAAACAUGUUUAAGUGCUUAAUCCCAAUUAAUCUGGAGUUUACAAGAAAUCCUUUGUUACUCCACUGAUUUAGCUUAGUGGUCCUAAUCCCUUGACAAUAAGUGCAGGCGUCAGCACACACCUUGUUUUUACAAAGAUCAGUGUUGGUUACAAGGGUUUAUAAGGAGAGAUAAAGGUAUUUAUUCUGGUAAUUAUAGCUGUACAAAAUCGUUUAUGUAAAUAAAGUUAUAGGACUUUGAAGAGACAUAUUUAAAACAUUGAUAAUGAGGAUUAAUUAAAUAACGGAACAGCAGAGUCCAGGAUAUCCUGGCUUUUUAGUCCUUAAUGUACUUACAAAUCCCAAACUACUUGAGCCUACACUUCCCAUGAUGCAUUUGAAUAGCUUUCACCAGACCCUGAACGCCCAUAUCUUUGAAACUCAUCGCCCUCAGUUUGCAAGGCGGACUUUCCAUUAUGACUUCGUAGUCUCUAAGCACAAGCGGAGAUAACCUGAUGACAUCGUCAGACUUUAGCGCGCUCCUCCAAAAGCUACAAAAACAUGAUACAGCUCUUUUCACAGGCUUUGCAGUUCUCCUCAUAUCGAGCAUACUGAUCUUUUAAAGCUUGAAAUAAAAUAUACAGAGUGCCCCUUUAACCACAGAGUGUUCAUACCACUUGUUUG
rnacentral:lncRNA from 1 species